AUGGAGACGAUCCAGGCGGCGAGCCAUCCGAUCACCAAGGUGUUUAGUGAAAGAAUGACCUCUCUGCCCAACAGACCAACCGUUCCAGACGGCUGGUCUGUAACAUCCGAAGAUUCACUGACGCCAAGGUUGUCCUUCAAGUCCAACUCCAGCACUGAGAGCUACUUCGAAGGGUCUGGAAGAUCGCUGUCACGAUCAAAUCGACACAUUUGCGCCCCAAAUGCAGAGACCAACUACUUGGAGUACUUAGAUAUGAUGAAACUGGAAGUAGAUACACAUCUGGAUAAGCUCAAGGGGGAUGUAACAGGUCUGGAAAACUACGCUUUACCGGAUACUGGCUACAUAGUCAGCACACACCUGGGCAUGUCCCUUGAUGUGAUGCUAAUCGAGAUAGAUGAAAGGUUCAACGCACUGAAGCUGCUGCUGGCCGUCGUGUUCCGGCAAGCUAGGGACAUGCCUGGCCUGACCAACCCGUUGGUUACUGAUCUUCAGUGGGAGCAUGAGUUGCAACUGGAAAUCAUCGGCAUUACGGUCGCAGAAUGCAUUGCUGGCUUGCAGGAGGAGCUAGAGAGGAAGUUGUAUGAGCAAAUUUCUGUCACAAACAUCAUGAGUAAGAAUUGGCAGGAAGCAGUAUCUCAGUUUGCCGCGAUGCGUGAGGACCUGGGUGCUCUUUCUAAGCUGCUGUUGCCUUCAGUACCAGAAUCACACAUUUCUCACAGUAAGCAAGAAAGUUCAGGUAGCAAGAGCAAUAAGUGGAAGUAUUUAUUUGGAAAGAAAACAAAGGAGGAUCAUGCUUCACCCCGCACCGAGGAAAGGAAGAGUUUUAGGAAACAGAAAUCCAUGGUUAUCUCGGAAAAAUCUGACUUCCGCCAUUUGAAUGCUAUGACCAGGGAAGAAACAAUAAGCUACUUUAAGUCUGAAAUAAGCAAAUUGAAGAGGGCGCAUGAACUGGCCUUGCAAGAAAAGACAGAGGAGCUCUUCAAAUUGAAACGAGAGAAGGGGUCUCUUGCUCUUCAGAAUGAUGUGGAAUUUGAACCUUUAAGAAAGAAAAUCCCACAGAUCAUCGCUAGAAUGGACCAAAUCAUGUCCAAGAAUAUAAAGGCACCCACACUUCACACGACUCAUGAUGAACUCGAUGAAGGCUGCAGACUGGCAAGCAAAAUUGAUUCCUUAUACUAUGAUAAUCAGCAUCUUAGAGGUUUGCUUGCAGAUAAUAUGAAGGAUGUUAAGGAAUUAUCAUCUCAGCUGUCUGAAGCCAGCAGAGACAUGUCUCUUCAGUUAUCUUCAGAAGAAGAGCUCUUGAGGCAAAUUGAGAAAAGCAGAGAAGAGCAGGAGGACCUCCGAAUCGAAGGUGAUGUGAGGGAUGGGCUAUACCGCACUGUUACAAGAAGUUUACUUGAUGAUUCUAUGGAUGACAUGCAUGAAGCUGCACUGAGCUUUGAUGCAAAACUGUCUUCACUUGAAGCUGUGAUCUCUGAGAAGGAGAAGGCCCUGUGUCUGUCGAAUGAAGAAAACCGGAAGUUGAAGGAGAAGCUAGCAGCGCUAGAGAAAGAGCGUUUGUUCCAAGAGCACCAGGAAGAUCCGGAAGUCAUCAAGCAAGAGAGUGCUGAAAUGAUUCUGCGUGACAUCGAGGUGGAGCCUAACAACACAUCACCAGGAAGAUCACAUGAGGCUCCCAAGCAAGAUGUGCAGUGUGAUGAACUUCUCAAACUGCACGGUUCAGUUAUGGAUUACGAUGGUGCUCUCACUAAGAACGGGCAAGAAAAGCAAUUGGAGUGCAUUUUGGUAUCUAUCAUGAAGUUGUCAAAGGAGUUUGUGGAGAUUGAGCAAAAAUUGUCAACGGAAAAAACUGAAAACAGAUCAGAGGAUUUGACUGAUCAUUGCAGUCACAUGGUCAAACAAGCCGUGGUUCUAACAAAAGUAGGCCUCUGGUACAAACAAAUGCUUGAAACAAGGCGCUCUGAGCUCCAAAAGGCUGAAGCCAAGGUUGUCAUUUUGGGCGACAAGGUUAAUACGCAUUUGAGCCUUCUCGAAAAGAUAUAUGUGACUCUUGAUCACUACUCUCCUACAUUGCAAAAAUACCCGGGGUUGCUGGAUGCUUUCUUGAAGACAUGCAAGCUUGUCGCAGGUUUGAGAAGUCGACAUGAUGAAGAUGAAACAGCAUAG
rnacentral:rRNA from 1 species